UGCGGCGGCGGAGGGCAGGCGGGGGCGGGGCCUCGGCAGGCGGGUGGCUCGGGUUCCUUGGGUUCCCGGACUGGGGCUUCAGCGGAGCGUGCUAUGGCCCGCGCCCCGCUAACAUGCCGUGGAGUGGAAAGAGGCAAAGACGCCUUCCCCCCGGUUUAUAAAUCCUGCGACUUUCCCCUGGAGGACUUUAAAUACCCUCUCCGCGACAGGGGCUCUAACUACGUCCGUCCUCAGCCAAGUUGCAUCCUGGUCUGGGAGUGCCAGGCGGCACGGCAGUUAUUGCAGGGUCCCUGCAGUGACUGUAGACACGUCCAGAAUUCGCCCGUCAAGUGAGGGGACAGAAGAGAGUGAAGACCUAGAAAGGUCUCGCUUGGAGUUAAUUUCAGCCCUGGCUCCUCCACAAACGAUUGUCCCUUAGGUGCUCAGGAAUUUCAUUUUGACUUUGUGGAUGCAAAAGGGGGCACACCAAAAAUGUCACCCUGAUCACUGCCAGUCAUGACACCCCUGAAGACAGAACCAGAAUAAUAGGUAUCAGAAAAGGGCUACGGGCAGGAAACUAACACAGCUGCCCCUCCCCCUCAAUGCUCACAAAGUUUGAAGGUGGCCCUGAAAGAUCUGUCUUGAAACUGGACUAGCAGGAUUGGAAAUGAGGGCUUUCCGUGGUCUUGGAGGAUGCUGUCAGAUCCGGGCUGUGACUACGCCACUCGCUUCCACUGUGCCAGCAAUAUAGAUUUUUAGGCGUUUCUUUGGCCUAGACACGUCCUGUCCAGCAUAGCAGCCACUGGCUGCUGAACACUUGAAAUGUGGUGCCUGUAAGGUGAACUCAACAACACUUCUUUCAGAGGAUUGCUGGAACAUCAAAUGAAAUAAUAUAUGAGAAAGUACUAUGAAUCGUGCAACUCUCUUCGUGGUGGCAAAUUUAUGGCCAGAGGGACAAAUGCUCUGGGCAGACUGUGUUCUCUGGCCAGAAAAGUGUGUUUUGUUUAGUUGAACCAGCACCUAUAAGGUGUGUCACAGACUUUACCACUCUUGUUAUCUUCGUUCAGCUGAUCUGUGUCACCUGCCCAGCUGCUGAAGAUGGAUGUGUUUGUACACCUUGCAAAAUCAGAGGGGCAAUCCGUAGUAACACACGCAUGCCUGGUGCUGGCUGACAAGGUUCCUUCCCUGAAAACUCAUGCUUCGCACCUAAGUUAUAGCAAAACCACGUCUGGAUGAACAGACAUUUACCAAGCACCUGAUCAUGGUUCUAAAUUCCAGGGAUAAAAAUUGAGAGGAACAGAUCAACUGUGGGUACAACAAAAAGGACAGCGACUGACUCUGCCUUGGGGAGAAUAUGUUAGAAGAGAUGGAGAGAGGAGGCAGAAAAGUGACAUUUUUGAGCCAAGACCGGGUCAUACAUGAGUUAAGCACUUGUCAUGCACUGUCUCAUCUCCUCAAAACAGCUCUCAGAGGACGUCAUUAUCUUCAUGCUGCAGACGACGUCUUAUGAAACCUGCCAACGUCACAUACAAGGGACAGAACUAGAAUGUUAAUCCAGGGCCUGCUGAGUGGGCCCCAGGCCAUGGUGUGUCACUGUGCUGUCCCUCGGGAUUCAUAAAAUCAUGUUUUAUUUCUGUUCGGCAGGCCUUCCCUC